rnacentral:tRNA from 1 species
GCCGAGGUGGCGAAAUGGUAUACGCGUAGGUCUCAAAAACCUAUGGUCUCAACAACCAUGCGGGUCCGAUUCCCGCCCUCGGCA